rnacentral:rRNA from 1 species
UACAGAGGUCUCAACCGUUGUUCGGAUUCAUUGGGCGUAAAGGGUGCGUAGGCUGCGGAGUAAGUCAGGUGUGAAAUCUCGGGGCUCAACCCCGAAACUGCACUUGAUACUGCUUCGCUCGAGUACUGGAGAGGAGACUGGAAUUCAUGGUGUAGCAGUGAAAUGCGUAGAGAUCAUGAGGAAGACCAGUGGCGAAGGCGGGUCUCUGGACAGUUCCUGACACUGAGGCACGAAGGCCAGGGGAGCAAACGGG